rnacentral:rRNA from 1 species
GGAUGAACGCUGGCGGCGUGCCUACUCCAUGCAAGUCGAGCGAACGGCCGAGACGCUUGCUUCUCUGAUGUUAGCGGCGGACGGGUGAGUAACACGUGGAUAACCUACCUAUAAGACUGGGAUAACUUCGGGAAACCGUAGCUAAUACCGGAUAAUAUUUUGAACCGCAUGGUUCAAAAGUGAAAGACGGUCUUGCUGUCACUUAUAGCUGGAUCCGCGCUGCAUUAGCUAGUUGGUAAGGUAACGGCUUACCAAGGCAACGAUGCAUAGCCGACCUGAGAGGGUGAUCGGCCACACUGGAACUGAGACACGGUCCAGACUCCUACGGGAGGCAGCAGUAGGGAAUCUUCCGCAAUGGGCGAAAGCCUGACGGAGCAACGCCGCGUGAGUGAUGAAGGUCUUCGGAUCGUAAAACUCUGUUAUUAGGGAAGAACAUAUGUGUAAGUAACUGUGCACAUCUUGACGGUACCUAAUCAGAAAGCCACGGCUAACUACGUG